UACGUAGGUGGCAAGCGUUAUCCGGAUUCACUGGGUUUAAAGGGUGCGUAGGUGGGCAAGUAAGUCAGUGGUGAAAUCUCCGGGCUUAACCCGGAAACUGCCAUUGAUACUAUUUGUCUUGAAUACUGUGGAGGUCAGCGGAAUAUGUCAUGUAGCGGUGAAAUGCUUAGAUAUCGAGAGGAACACCUGCGGCGAAGGCGGGUAGCUGGGCCGACACUGACGCUGAGGCGCGAAAGCCAGGGGAGCGAACGGG
rnacentral:rRNA from 1 species